CCACGGGCUCCCACGGGUUGCGAGGCCGCCGAGGUGGCGGGCGGCGGUCAGGCAGCCGCCGGGGCAGCCAUGCGCGGGGAGGCGGUGGCAGGGGCGGGCACCGUCCGGACCGAGGGCGCGCUGGCGGCCUCUGCCGGCUGAGGGGCGCAGCGCAGCACCCCGCCACGCUCGCCGAUUCCCCUGCGCCGUCGCGGGUCGGGCAGCCGGAUGACCGACCCGAAAGCCUAGGCUUUGGGAAUGAGACUGAUGGACACAAAAGCGCCAUUUAUCUAGAGCUCACCAUGUGCCAGAGUCACACAUUAUCUCACUGAAUCUUAUCUAACCCUUUCACAGAUGAGGAACCUGAAGCUCAAAAAAUUUAAGAAACCCACCCAAGGACCCAAGGCUAGAAGAUAACAUUCGGUACUUCUAAUUUAUUCCCCAACCUUGGACCAUUAUAUCAUGAACUUGGCCUAACCCUACUCAAGCCCUGCAUUGAAAGACUAGCCUUAAGGAAGACCCCAGAAUCCUCAUAAAUAUCCUGCAUUUCCCCCUCCUCCUCCGAAGACUAAAGACUGUGAAGUAGUGCUCUUGACCGCAGUGCAUAAUACACUUGGCUUUGCUUUAUUAACAUGCUUUUUAAAAUGAUGUUUUCAGGGAGCCAGCAUUUCACACCAGAAGAGGAGCCCUUAAUUUCCUUGGGGGCCAGCUGGCAGGUGCAGAGCGGGGAGAAAAAUAAAAGGAAAGGGGAUGGAAAAGGGAAAGAGCGGAGAGUAACCGAAGGAAAAACAUACAUUCCAUUAUCAAGCUUAAUUUUAGGUGUGGCCUCUACUUGAGGGCUCUUGCCAUUCUCUAUGGAAACAGGCUAACAAGACAUUUCUAAAUAUCACAAGGAAGUGGAAUGUGGCAGAAAAGCACCACCUAAGUAGGUUUCAGAUGAGUAGGAUUGUGAUCCUGAUGCCAAAAAAUCUGGCGGCAUGAAUUACGGGAUAAAACAAAUGGGCAUAUCAUCUGCCAAACUGGAUGUAAGGUUUAAACAAGACGAGAGUGAAAACCCACUGAGUUCCUCCCUUGGAAAUCUGGGAAAAUCAGGCAAAGUGCCAGAAGUCCUAAAAGGGCAAGCAGUGCUGAAUUUUCACAGGACAGAAGAUGGAGAUGAAAAUUACAGAGUAUCUUUCUUUUUUGCAGGAGUACCAGGUAGGCGGAUGCUGCAGAUACAGCAAAUGCAGAUUUCAACAGGGCAUUUGACAAUUCACAUCUUAGAUGCGAAAGUGAAAUCAAUGCUGGAUGAUAGCACUGAGGCUUAUUAAAGACUAGCCCAGAGGUGGCUGAUGAAGAGGAGGGACCAGCAGAUGAGGCUGCUAGGGGCCUGCCCAAACCUCCUGCCCUGGCCAGCCAAUUCAGGGUGCCAUCAGUGACUUGGAUAAGAAUACAGCAGCAGUCAUGGAAGUUGUGGAUGACCUGAAGCAGGAAGGGUUGCCUUAUCUACUGCAUGACAAACUGAGCAGAGACUAAAUCUAACAAGUUGAAAUUUAGCAGGAACUAUUAAAGUCCUGUGGAAGAGUUUAACAAAAAAGCAUAGGAAGGCCAGGUACGGUGGCUCACACCUGUAAUCCCGGCACUUUGGGAGGCCGAGGCUGGCGGAUCACUUGAGGUCAGGAGUUCCAGACCAGCCUGUCCAACAUGGCCAAACCCCGUCUCUACUAAAAAUACAAAAAAAAAAAAAAAAAAUUAGCCAGGAAUGGUGGCAUCCGCCUGUAAUCCCAGCUGCCUGGGAGGCUGAAGCACGAUAAUUGCUUGAACCCAGGAGACAGAGGCUGCAGGGAGUUGAGAUCACACCACUGCACUCUAGCCUGGGCGACAGAGUAAGACUGUCAAAUAAAGUAAAAUUUAAUUUAAAAAUGCAUAGGAAUAGGAUAGGAAAUUAUUUGAAAUAAAAAUGAUAAUCUAAACGUCAUUACUGUAUUAACUAUAAUCUAAGAGUUGGUCAUGUAGAAUGCCAAGAAACAUCUUAGGGUAGAACCCAUAAAACCUCACUGAUGCUAACAAAGAAGCUAGCCCCCCAUGCCAGUCAGGCUGGAUUUCUUAGGGUGACAUUUCUGGACACAUUUUGCAAAGACAGAGGUAUCCAGUGGUCAGUGACUAAACUCAUAAGGGGACAAGACAUCGUUCUGCUGCAACAUGAAGUAACUAGGGCUCAUCAGUAUGAAGGAUAAAGAUACAGAGGGAGAAGAAGGGAAAGUGUAGACAUUUCUGAAAAGCUAAAGCAAAUAAACAUACACCAAAAAGAAGUGAACCUGACUAUAUGAUGUGGGAGUAUUCAAAGCAACUGCAUAAUUAGUCUUUAGAAGAAGAAACUUUUUUUUUUUCCUCUAGGAUACUACAAUAAACAAUAGAAGAGGAAACUUUUUUAAGAGAUAGGGUCUUGCUCUUGUCCAGGCCAGAGUACAGUGAAACACUCAUAACUAACUACAACCUCGAACUCCUGGGCUCAAGCGAUCCUCCCACUUCAGCCUCUCAAGUAGUUAGGACCACAGGGGCAUGCCACCACAUCCAGCUAAUUUUUAAAUUUUUUUGUAAAGAUAGGGGUCUCACUAUGUUGCCCAGGCUGGUCUCAAACUCCUUGCCUCAAGUGAUCCUCCCACAUUGGCCUCCCAAAGUGCUAGGAUUACAAAUAUGGGCCACCACCACAGCCAAGGAAACAUUUUAAUUAACAAAAUGUCAAAUAUUGAUUUAGUGUAUGGGAACCUUAGUUAAAUAGCUUGGGGAACUAUUCUUUCUGAAUUCUGGGGAGGGACUUUUGUACCAUAUAAAAAUACUAAAAUCCAAAUGUCCCACAUAGUAUUUAUUGCAAUAUAAUGUCAAAUAACAUUUAAAGGCUAAUUCUUUUCUCUGUGUCCUUUAAGCUUAAGGAAAAAUAAAAGCAUAUUCCUAAACAAAUGUUUGAUCUUAUGAAGGAAUUUUCUUACUAAUCUGUACACUGAUGAUAUAUUUGCUUUAUAAAUCAUUGUAAUUUGAUGAGUUUCAGCAUCACAAAAACUGUUUAAUGAAAACUGUAUCCUCAUUUCCACAUUCCUUCUCAUGAGAGUUUAGAAAAAUACUUUAAAUGUAUCUUUCAAGGCACUGUAUUUUAAGAAUCCAAACUAAAAACUGACAGUCUUCUUUCAAUCAAGAAGCUGCACACGUGGGGUGUUUGGUCAG
rnacentral:lncRNA from 10 species